AUGCUGCUACUGCUCGAAUUGGUUUGGCGGUUAUUCGAUGCGUUACUUGCGUUACUCUUGCUGCCAUCGCUAUUUUUGCUUCCUUUCGGUUUACGCUUACGGGACUGCAAGAUGGUCGAUUCACAUUGUGCAACUUGUAGUACAAUCCGCACGCAUUGCAAACCGGCUCUCCGACCUGAUUGCGACGCCAGAGCGAUGUGUUGGUUGUGUUGCAGUUAGAACACUGCAGUCCUACUCGUCUUGCAGAGCUCUGAGAGGGAAUAUAAAAAAAGGAUUAGAAUUGAAGCCUUGCUGUCACCAGUCACAGUAUAUUACUUGUUAAAGCACGAUAUUAGUUGGCAAGCUACGGGACGAUGAGAGGGUUAGUUAAAUUUUCUAUCACAAAAUAGGAAAAGCGACACAAUUUAGUAGGUGUUAGAAAGAGCGAUAUUAUAU